rnacentral:rRNA from 1 species
UACAGAGGGUGCAAGCGUUGUUCGGAAUUAUUGGGCGUAAAGGGCGCGUAGGCGGUGCUGUAAGUCUGUGGUGAAAUCUCUGGGCUCAACUCAGAGUCUGCCAUAGAAACUGCAGUGCUGGAGUGUGGGAGAGGUGAGUGGAAUUCCCGGUGUAGCGGUGAAAUGCGUAGAUAUUCGCAAGAACACCAGUGGCGAAGGCGGCUCACUGGCCCGGUACUGACGCUGAGGUGCGAAAGCGUGGGGAGCAAACAGG